UACGUAGGGUGCGAGCGUUGUCCGGAAUUACUGGGCGUAAAGAGCUCGUAGGUGGUUUGUCGCGUUGUCCGUGAAAACUCACAGCUUAACUGUGGGCGUGCGGGCGAUACGGGCAGACUGGAGUACUGCAGGGGAGACUGGAAUUCCUGGUGUAGCGGUGGAAUGCGCAGAUAUCAGGAGGAACACCGGUGGCGAAGGCGGGUCUCUGGGGCAGUAACUGACGCUGAGGAGCGAAAAGCGUGGGGGAGCGAACAGG
rnacentral:rRNA from 1 species